rnacentral:rRNA from 1 species
UGCGGCGGCCAUGGCCCAGGUGAGACGCCGGUCCCAUUCCGAACCCGGAAGCUAAGGCCUGGCACGGCGAUGGUACUGCACCCGACAGGGUGUGGGAGAGUAGCACGCCGCCGCAU